UACGUAGGGGCCUAGCGUUGUCCGGAUUUAUUGGGCGUAAAGAGCUCGUAGGCGGUUCGGCAAGUCGGAUGUGAAAUCUCCACGCUUAACGUGGAGCGUGCGGUCGAUACGGGCAGACUUGAGUUCGGUAGGGGGAGACUGGAAUUCCUGGUGUAGCGGUGAAAUGCGCAGAUAUCAGGAGGAAUACCGAUGGCGAAGGCAGGUCUCUGGGCUGACACGUGACGUCAUGCACGAAAGCGUGGGGAGCAACA
rnacentral:rRNA from 1 species